UGUGCAAACCCAGGGAAUAUUUCUGUGUCUGCUCUGGGGUGCCCUGACCCCCAGGGAGCACUGACUUUGACCCUCAUUCAUGGAGGAAGUUUCCUAAAUUCCAGAAUAGACUGGAAUCCACAGAAGUGUGAAAUAGAUUAUAGAGAGUAGUGUAGGUGUAUCACAAAAUUUAGGGUUUGAGAUUUUUAGUAUGUUGUGGAUGGAACGGAGAUGGAGGUGUCAUCCUGAGUUUCUUCUUAAUGCUUCUUCUUCCUUUUUCUCCAUGGGUUAUGGUGGCAUUUUGUAAUUGGGCAGAAAAGUCUGCAUUGCAGCUCUGUGGGAUCAGUUAUUGGGUUAAAAGGGAAAAUAAUCCAGGUGUCAGUUCUUCAUUGGAUAGUUUAGUCUUAAAAGACCUUGUAAAAUGAGAUUGUUGGCCAUUUUGUGCCUUCUAAUGAAAAGCUGCUGAACUCACAGUAGUGAGACUGUUUUAGUGAUAAGAAAUAAUAAACACUUGAGUCUGAACAUGAACUAGCCUCUCAAGUGCCUUCAGUCCAGACCCAGAGAAACCAACAACUGGGCCCACCACAGGGAAGCAAGCUGUGAUUAUUUUUUCUCUGUGAAACUCCAUUUUUGGAGGGGCAAGUUGACAGUGUGUCUCCUGACCUCUGUGUCCUCAUGGAAGUGAUGUUUCUCACCAAAUCUGGCAAAGUUUUCAGGGACCUCAUCAAGGUUCCUGAAAAUGGGUGGAGUAACUGGUAGUUCAGGCAAGUUCUUACUGCUCAGGCAUAACUUUGCCAGCACAGUAAAGUUUUGGAGAAGCUUAGGAGAGCACUAACAACUUCCACGUGCCAGGAAUUGAAAUUGAAUGGCUUUUCCAAGCUGGAGCCUCAGAGAUUAACUGUAGGCUGCACUACUGACUAAAAAGGCAGCAGUAUAAAAUAUUGUCUCAGACUCUGUUUUCCAUAGGGAAUUCUGGGUUGGAACUCCAUUUUCCCACCAAAUACAGCACAGGAAAGCUUUCAUCCCUUUAAUCUGGAGUUUGCUGGGCUGAACAAGAACAAGGUGGUGGGAAGAGAACACAGGAUAAAGGAGCCCCUGUCAGUCCUGAUGCCUCAAGAGCUCGGCCCCUGCCCCUGGAUCCUGC